rnacentral:rRNA from 1 species
GUGGGGAAUAUUGGACAAUGGGCGCAAGCCUGAUCCAGCCAUGCCGCGUGAGUGAUGAAGGCCCUAGGGUUGUAAAGCUCUUUCACCGGUGAAGAUAAUGACGGUAACCGGAGAAGAAGCCCCGGCUAACUUCGUGCCAGCAGCCGCGGUAAUACGAAGGGGGCUAGCGUUGUUCGGAAUUACUGGGCGUAAAGCGCACGUAGGCGGACAUUUAAGUCAGGGGUGAAAUACCGGGGCUCAACCCCGGAACUGCCUUUGAUACUGGGUGUCUGGAGUAUGGAAGAGGUAAGUGGAAUUCCGAGUGUAGAGGUGAAAUUCGUAGAUAUUCGGAGGAACACCAGUGGCGAAGGCGGCUCACUGGUCCGGUACUGACGCUGAGGUGCGAAAGCGUGGGGAGCAAACAGGAUUAGAUACCCUUGUAGUCC